rnacentral:lncRNA from 1 species
UCGUACCUCUUGUCCAGCUGUUUCUUGUUGCAUAGGUCAGAGUGGAUCCUUCCCUAAAUAAACCUUUCGCUAGGGAGGACGUAAGCGACCCCAGGGAAUAUUUUCAGAACACCACCAAGAAAGUGACAGAUCUCCACUCCUGGGGUGCCGCCAGGGCAGUUCUUAGAGAUUUAUUGCUCCCCGUGCUUCUCUUAAGAGGGAAAGAAGAGAAACGAUCCAUCAAUCCAUACCUGAUGAACUUUGUUCCUUGAAGCUACAAACCAAGAGAAAGGAGAAAAAGAAAGUAAUAAAUUCAAACAAAACGGAGGAAAGGACUGAUAAACUUAAUCAGAAGCACCUGGGAGGAAAUGGCUUUCUGCAGUGUGGGGCUGUGUGGGACCGGGUGGAGGAGGGGACGAGGCCUGCAGGGCAGGUUUGUCAUCGUACACCCGGGGCCGCACACUUGUUGCCCCAGUCGGACUCCAGACAUGUUUGGGGAGGUGCAGAGCGAGCAAACCAGGGGCUUGUUCAUCCCAGCAGACCCAGCAUCCGCGGAUCUGUGGAAGGAAGCACAAAACGGGGAGCAGAGCGCGGCCACGGCCUCACCACCGGUAGGGCGCUCCUCUCUCCUCUGCCUUUGUGAUUCUCAGUCAAAUUUCUUUCCACGUUCCACCCCGAGGGAGAGGAAGGGGCUCAUCCUCUGUUCUGCUCAACUCCAUGUGCUCUGCAGUGACUGUUUUCAGUGGAGAAGGAAGGCUCCCAGUGCUUGGCGGAGGAGCCAACAGAAGGCCGCCGUGGAGAGGCUGUGGCUGGCCCUGUGUUUCCCCACAGGAGGAGGGCUGGCUCCCACUUCCCCGAUGGGGCUCCCUAUGGACCAGGCUGAGCGGUGAGGCCUCCCUCGUGAGACACAGGCCAGCGACGGCCUCCUGGUGCCUUCUCCCGG